GCGUCAGAGGAUCGUUCGCGCUUUUCUUCCCAGGGGCACCAAGUUUUCACUGGAGGACAGAAGAUGGCUGGACAGUCAUUUAACAAGAAAGUUCAUGGAUAUGGAGCCACAUGGAAUAUUGAAGGACGUUGACUCAGGAAUUUGGUCUCAACAGCUUACGCAAGGUGCCUCAACAUGAGAUGGAGGUGUAAGAUGUGUAGUUUUAUAUCAGACAAGCGAAUAGGAUUGUUAAAACACUAUAGAUCAAAGAGGAGUUCAGAAGGAUAACAACAGUUCAUCUGGAGCGAACAUUUUUGUCAAAACUGGACACACACACUCCCAAACUCCUGGAGAUAUUUAGGACAGAGGGCGGGGUUGCAGGCACGAAAAUCAGGCUGAUGCUGGAUUCACUUGGCCAGCAACAUGUUGAAGGCAGAAGAGAUCUCAUCAUACAUUGCCUAAUGGAGUUCCUUGGAGAGUCGGGAGAGGAGCUGAUCAAAGACUGCCAGGAUGUAGGUGAAGAAGACUCUGUUCAUCAUGUCCUCAAGAUCCUCGUCAUCAGUGGAAAUGCAGCACAGGAAGGCCACAAUCCUGCCCAUGUGUCAGUCAUCGUCGAAGGAAAAGAGGUUCUGGAUGACUGCAAAACCAUGGCAAAGGCUUGCCUUCUGCUCAUGGGCUUAAUCUACGCCAUGAACUUGAGUUACCCACUGAAACUGAAAUACACAUUUGAAGUGUUUCAGAUGCUGUUUCUUUAACUGGAUGUUCUGAAAAUGUCGCCCAAGGUACGGUCUUUGCGAAAUAAACUUCUACUGUGAGUGUUUCCACAGUGUACAUAUACUGUUCCAGCAUAUAGCUGUUCUUUGGUGUGUGGAAGCAGUACAUGAUGCUUGUCAAUGUAACUUGUUGAAAGAUUUUGCUGUUGUGCUUAAAAGUUACAAUUCAGGACAUUUUAUUGGAUCUUUUACCUGUAAUUGUUCGCAUUAUUGUGAAUGUUGUAAAACAAAAAAUCACUGUUUUAUAAU